CAGCAGCCGCGGGAAUACGGAGGGUGCAAGCGUUAAUCGGAAUUACUGGGCGUAAAGCGCACGCAGGCGGUCUGACAAGUCAGAUGUGAAAUCCCCGGGCUUAACCUGGGAACUGCAUUUGAAACUGUCAGGCUGGAGUCUUGUAGAGGGGGGUGGAAUUCCAGGUGUAGCGGUGAAAUGCGUAGAGAUCUGGAGGAAUACCGGUGGCGAAGGCGGCCCCCUGGACAAAGACUGACGCUCAGGUGCGAAAGCGUGGGGAGCAAACAGGAUUAGAUGCCCCAGUAGUCCCUGUCUCUUAUAC
rnacentral:rRNA from 1 species